rnacentral:rRNA from 1 species
AUGCAAGACUACUUUGCAGAGGUACCGACAUACCCACCCCGCCUCUUCCGUAGAAGGUACCGCAUGCGCCGUACUUUGCUUGAGAGAAUCGUCAAAGAUUGCGAGGCCAACUCGCAUUAUUUCACGCGCCGUAGAAAUGCUGGCGGUGCCAUGGGAUUUAGUGCAUACCAGAAGAUAUCGGCUGCAAUGCGGGUGCUCGCGUAUGGUAUACCCGCGGACUACUGUGACGAGUAUCUUCGCAUUGACCAAGAUACUACCACCGAGUCCGUGCGUAGGUUUGCCAAGAUGGUCAUUCGGUUGUAUGGUGAUUUGUAUCUUCGGGCUCCCAAUGAGGAAGAUACAAAGAGGUUGAUGGAGACAAAUGAAAAAAGGGGAUGGCCGGGCAUGCUUGGUAGUCUAGAUUGCAUGCACUGGAAAUGGAAAAAUUGCCCAAAGGCAUGGCAUGGAAUGUAUUACGGUAAAAGCCAUGAUCCUACCAUUGUGCUUGAGAUUGUGGAAUCGCAAGACUUAUGGAUUUGGCAUGCAUAUUGUGGUUUGCCGGGAACACUCAAUGACAUCAAUGUGCUUCAAAUGUCCCCUUUAUUUGCAAGACUAGCUUGA